UCCGAAGGGGGCAAUCGUUGUACGGAAUUACUGGGCGUAAAGCGAACGCAGGUGGAUUUAUAAGUCUGCGGUGAAAUCCCGGUGCUCAACCUCGGAAUUGCCUUUGAGACUGUCUAUCUUGAGUACGGGAGAGGUGAGUGGAAUUCCUAGUGUAGAGGUGAAAUUCGUAGAUAUUAGGAAGAACACCAGUGGCGAAGGCGGCUCUCUGGCCCGGUACUGACGCUCAUGUGCGAAAGCGUGGGGAGCAAACAGG
rnacentral:rRNA from 1 species